rnacentral:rRNA from 1 species
AAUAGAUACCCUGGUAGUCCACGCUGUAAACGUUGGACACUAGGUGUGGCGGUCUGAUCAACGACUGCCGUGCCGAAGCUAACGCAUUAAGUGUCCCGCCUGGGGAGUACGGCCGCAAGGCUAAAACUCAAAGGAAUUGACGGGUCCCCGCACAAGCGGCGGAGCAUGCGGCUUAAUUCGAUGCAACCCGAAGAACCUUACCUGGGUUUGACAUCAUGGGAAAAGCCGUGGAAACACGGUGUCCGUAAGGGCCCAUGACAGGUGGUGCAUGGCUGUCGUCAGCUCGUGUCGUGAGAUGUUGGGUUAAGUCCCGCAACGAGCGCAACCCUUGUCCUAUGUUGCCAGCGGUUCGGCCGGGGACUCAUAGGAGACUGCCGGGGAUAACUCGGAGGAAGGUGAGGACGAUGUCAAGUCAUCAUGCCCCUUAUAUCCAGGGCUGCACGCAUGCUACAAUGGUCGGUACAACGGGCAGCGAUCCUGCGAAGGUGAGCGAAUCCCACAAAGCCGGCCUCAGUUCGGAUUGG